AGAGCGAACGCUGGCGGCAUGCUUAACACAUGCAAGUCGCACGGGCAGGGGUAACUCUGUCAGUGGCGGACGGGUGAGUAACGCGUAGGUAUCUAUCUCUGGGUGGGGGACAACUGUGGGAAACUACAGCUAAUACCGCAUGACACCUGAGGGUCAAAGGCGCAAGUCGCCUGGAGAGGAGCCUGCGUACGAUUAGCUAGUUGGUGGGUAAAGGCCUACCAAGGCGACGAUCGUUAGCUGGUCUGAGAGGAUGAUCAGCCACAUUGGGACUGAGACACGGCCCAAACUCCUACGGGAGGCAGCAGUGGGGAAUAUUGGACAAUGGGCGAAAGCCUGAUCCAGCAAUGCCGCGUGUGUGAAGAAGGUCUUCGGAUUGUAAAGCACUUUCGACGGGGACGAUGAUGACGGUACCCGUAGAAGAAGCCCCGGCUAACUUCGUGCCAGCAGCCGC
rnacentral:rRNA from 1 species